rnacentral:precursor_RNA from 15 species
GGCCAAGAAGAUCUGUCUGUCUUCUGUAUAUACCCUGUAGAUCCGAAUUUGUGUAAGGAGUUUUGUGAUCACAAAUUCGUAUCUAGGGGAAUAUGUAGUUGACAUAAACACUCCGCUCCCCCC